GUUUGACUCCAAGUUAACUCGUUCUAGGGUUAUCGGAAGGUCGACUUGACUUCGCACAUCGUUCGUGACCUGACUUCGCUCAAGGCUGUCCCUACUGCAAAAAGGACAAGCACUGGCUAAUGAAUAUGGCAUCAUGUUUCUUGAAAGAGUUACUCUCCAUUGCAUUUUACUUGUAGUAUUAUACUACCAGUAGAAAAUGGGUAUUUUUGUAUUUUAUUAAUUACUUG